GCCACCUUAGCUCAGUCGGUAGAGCAAUGCUUUCGUAAAGCAUGGGUCCAGAGUUCAAGUCUCUGAGGUGGCU
rnacentral:tRNA from 2 species